GACGAACGCUGGCGGCGUGCUUAACACAUGCAAGUCGAACGGUAAGGCCCUUCGGGGUACACGAGUGGCGAACGGGUGAGUAACACGUGGGUGAUCUGCCCUGCACUUCGGGAUAAGCCUGGGAAACUGGGUCUAAUACCGGAUAGGACCACUGCCUACAUGGGUGGUGGUGGAAAGCUUUUGGGGGGUGGGAUGGGCCCGCGGCCUAUCAGCUUGUUGGUGGGGUGAUGGCCUACCAAGGCGACGACGGGUAGCCGGCCUGAGAGGGUGACCGGCCACACUGGGACUGAGAUACGGCCCAGACUCCUACGGGAGGCAGCAGUGGGGAAUAUUGCACAAUGGGCGCAAGCCUGAUGCAGCGACGCCGCGUGAGGGAUGACGGCCUUCGGGUUGUAAACCUCUUUCAGCACCGACGAAGCGCAAGUGACGGUAGGUGCAGAAGAAGGACCGGCCAACUACGUGCCAGCAGCCGCCGCCG
rnacentral:rRNA from 1 species